rnacentral:rRNA from 1 species
GACGAACGCUGGCGGCGUGCUUAACACAUGCAAGUCGAACGGAAAGGCCCUGCUUUUGUGGGGUGCUCGAGCGGCGAACGGGUGAGUAACACGUGAGUAACCUGCCCUUGACUUUGGGAUAACUUCAGGAAACUGGGGCUAAUACCGGAUAGGAGCUCCUGCUGCAUGGUGGGGGUUGGAAAGUUUCGGCGGUUGGGGAUGGACUCGCGGCUUAUCGGCUUGUUGGUGGGGUAGUGGCUUACCAAGGCUUUGACGGGUAGCCGGCCUGAGGGGGUGACCGGCCCCAUUGGGCCUGAGAUACGGCCCAGACUCCUACGGGAGGCGGCAGUGGGGAAUAUUGCACAAGGGGCGGACGCCUGAUGCAGCAACGCCGCGUGCGGGAUGACGGCUUUCGGGUUGUAAACCGCUUUCGCCUGUGACGAAGCGUGAGUGACGGUAAUGGGUAAAGAAGCACCGGCUAACUACGUG